UGGGGGAUAUUGCGCAAUGGAGGAAACUCUGAUGCAGCAACGCCGCGUGAGGGAAGAAGGUCUUCGGAUUGUAAACCUUAGUAGUCAGGGACGAAAGAAAUGACGGUACCUGAAGAGUAAGCUCCGGCUAACUACGUGCCAGCAGCCGCGGUAAUACGUAGGGAGCGAGCGUUGUCCGGAUUUACUGGGUGUAAAGGGUGCGUAGGCGGGACUGCAAGUCAGACGUGAAAUACCGAGGCUUAACUUCGGGGCUGCGUUUGAAACUGUGGUUCUUGAGUGAAGUAGAGGCAGGCGGAAUUCCUAGUGUAGCGGUGAAAUGCGUAGAUAUUAGGAGGAACACCAGUGGCGAAGGCGGCCUGCUGGGCUUUAACUGACGCUGAAGCACGAAAGCAUGGGGAGCAAACAGGAUUAGAUACCCUGGUAGUCCAUGCCGUAAACGAUGAUAGCUAGGUGUGGGGGGACUGACCCUUCCGUGCCGCAGCAAACGCAAUAAGCUAUCCACCUGGGGAGUACGACCGCAAGGUUGAAACUCAAAUGAAUUGACGGGGUCAUAGCUGUUUUCCU
rnacentral:rRNA from 1 species